GGAUUAUUCACACCAGAAGUACCUUCUCCCGAUGGGACCCUUACCCUUCUUAGUGACUGACUAGAAUCUGUUUCUUCUCUUAAUGGGGGCUUGAUUAGUGUCGGAAAACCCGAAGUAAGUGUUAAAAAGAGUUUUAUCAUUUUUAAUUUUAUUUAUUUAUUAUAUUUAAUUUUAUUUAUUUUUUAAUUUUAUUAAUUUUAUUUAUUUAUUAUAUUUUUUUAUUUGUAUUUGUGAAGGCAUAAAUACUAAUUGCGAAUGCCAACGUUAGACUAGCCAUCCACAUAGCAAUGUUUAACGAAGAUCUCUCGCACGGAAUAUCAUCA
rnacentral:lncRNA from 1 species